rnacentral:rRNA from 1 species
CGGAGGAAAAGAAACUAACAAGGAUUCCCUCAGUAACGGCGAGCGAAGUGGGAAUAGCUCAAAUUUUAAAUCUCCGGUGCGUACACCGGCGAAUUGUAGUCUGUAGGGCCAGUUUCGCCCGAGACGGUGUCCCCAAAGUCGUCCUGGAAAGGCGGGCCGAAGAGGGUGAGAGCCCCGUGCGUGGGGAGAUCGUCGGAGGUAAGAUCUGUGCCCGAAGAGUCGGGUUGUUUGGGAUUGCAGCCCAAAAUGGGUGGUAAACUCCAUCUAAAGCUAAAUAUUGGCACGAGACCGAUAGCGAACAAGUACCGUGAGGGAAAGAUGAAAAGCACUUUGAAAAGAGAGUCAAACAGUACGUGAAACCGUCAGGAGGGAAACGAACGAGGUUGGUGCAGUGAUCGCGCAGGUUCAAGCCCUGCCGAAGGUGCCGACCCGGUGACCGAGAUGGUCCCGUGCCGUCCGCCCGAGGCAGGGCCGUACUCCUCGUGAGCACAGACCAACGGCGGUUGGAGCGGAGCCACAAGGCAACAGUGGAAGGUGAGUCGAUGCAGGUUCCGCCCUGCGUUGACAGCUUAUAGCCCUGCUGUACGGUGCUCCGGCGCGACCGAGGAAAAUGGGGCAGCCCUUGCCCUCCAUGGCGCACGCCGAAUGGCGGGGCCUCCCGACAGGAGCUAACCGUGCGGUGUGGACUGCAUGCAGUGCUAACCGUAACGGUGAUCUCGUGCCGGUGAGUGCCACCUGUGCGCCAGUGCCGUUGGGAUUUAGACAGCCUCGUCCGACCCGUCUUGAAACACGGACCAAGGAGUGCAACAUGUGCGCGAGCCCUUUGGCGAGCAAACCACGAGGCGCAAUGAAAGUGAAGGCACGGUCGCCGUGCUGAGGUGAGAGCUGUCCACGGCAGCGCAUCAUCGACCGAUCCCAUCCGCACACUCGUGGUGCGGCGGGAUUCGAGUAAGAGCGUACCUGUUGCGACCCGAAAGAUGGUGAACUAUGCCUGAAUAGGGUGAAGCCAGAGGAAACUCUGGUGGAGGCCCGUAGCGAUUCUGACGUGCAAAUCGAUCGUCAAAUUUGGGUAUAGGGGCGAAAGACUAAUCGAACCAUCUAGUAGCUGGUUCCCUCCGAAGUUUCCCUCAGGAUAGCUGUAGCCCGAAGCAGUUUUAUCAGGUAAAGCGAAUGAUUAGAGGUAUCGGGGAAGAAACUUCCUCGACCUAUUCUCAAACUUUAAAUAGGUAAGAAGUCCGACUUGCUCAAUUUGAAGCCGGACGCAGAAUGCUGGGUUACUAGUGGGCCAUUUUUGGUAAGCAGAACUGGCGAUGCGGGAUGAACCGAACGCCGAGUUAAGGUGCCAAAGUCGACGCUCAUCAGAUCCCACAAAAGGUGUUGGUUGAUAUAGACAGCAGGACGGUGGCCAUGGAAGUCGGAAUCCGCUAAGGAGUGUGUAACAACUCACCUGCCGAAUCAACUAGCCCUGAAAAUGGAUGGCGCUUAAGCGUCGCACCUAUACUCGGCCGUCGGGGCAAGAGCGAGGCUCCGACGAGUAGGAGGGCGCGGCGGUGGUGAUGCAGCCUUUGGCGCGAGCCUGGGUCAAACCGCCGCCGGUGCAGAUCUUGGUGGUAGUAGCAAAUAUUCAAAUGAGAGCUUUGAAGACUGAAGUGGGGAAAGGUUCCAUGUGAACAGCAGUUGGACAUGGGUUAGUCGGUCCUAAGAGAUAGGGUAACUCCGUUUGAAAAGUGUGCAGUCCUCGCGGUGUGCACCGACCUAUCGAAAGGGAAUCGGGUCAAUAUUCCCGAACCGGAACACGGAUGUGGUGCCCUCGGCACCAAAGCGGCAACGCAAACGAACUCAGAGACGCCGGCGGGAGCCCUGGGAAGAGUUCUCUUUUCUUCUUAACAUGCUGUCACCCUGAAAUCGGUUUGCCCGGAGAUAGGGUCACAUGCCUGGUAAAGCGCCACACCUCUUGUGGCGUCCGGUGCGCUCUCGACGGCCCGUGAAAAUCUGAGGGAGCAGAUGAUUAUCGUGUCCGGCCGUACUCAUAACCGCAGCAGGUCUCCAAGGUGAACAG